rnacentral:rRNA from 1 species
CCCUUAGAUGUUCUGGGCCGCACGCGCGCUACACUGACGAAUGCAACGAGCUUAUAACCUUGGCCGAAAGGUCUGGGUGAUCUCCAAAUUUCGUCGUGAUGGGGAUAGAUUAUUGCAAUUAUUAAUCUUCAACGAGGAAUGCCUAGUAAGCGCAAGUCAUCAGCUUGCGUUGAUUACGUCCCUGCCCUUUGUACACACCGCCCGUCGCUCCUACCGAUUGAAUGGUCCGGUGAAGCGUUCGGACCGUGGCCUUUGGACGGUUCGCCGUCUGUUGGCUGCGGGAAGUUCGUUAAACCUUAUCAUUUAGAGGAAGGAGAAGUCGUANCA